rnacentral:rRNA from 1 species
UACGGAGGGUGCAAGCGUUGUCCGAUUUAUUGGGUUUAAAGGGUGCGUAGGCGGCCUAUUAAGUCAGGGGUGAAAGACUGCAGCUCAACUGUAGCAGUGCCUUUGAUACUGAUGGGCUUGAGUACAGAUGAGGCCGGCGGAAUGGGUGGUGUAGCGGUGAAAUGCAUAGAUACCAUCCAGAACACCGAUUGCGAAGGCAGCCGGCUAAACUGUAACUGACGCUGAGGCACGAAAGCGUGGGGAUCGAACAGG